CAUCUGAAAGAGAUUAAAGAUUUAUCGGUGAUGGAUGGGGAUGCGUCUGAUUAGCUUGUUGGCGGGGUAACGGCCCACCAAGGCGACGAUCAGUAGGGGUUCUGAGAGGAAGGUCCCCCACAUUGGAACUGAGACACGGUCCAAACUCCUACGGGAGGCAGCAGUGAGGAAUAUUGGUCAAUGGACGAGAGUCUGAACCAGCCAAGUAGCGUGCAGGAUGACGGCCCUAUGGGUUGUAAACUGCUUUUAUAAGGGAAUAAAGUGAGUCUCGUGAGACUUUUUGCAUGUACCUUAUGAAUAAGGACCGGCUAAUUCCGUGCCAGCAGCCGCGGUAAUACGGAAGGUCCGGGCGUUAUCCGGAUUUAUUGGGUUUAAAGGGAGCGUAGGCCGGAGAUUAAGCGUGUUGUGAAAUGUAGACGCUCAACGUCUGCACUGCAGCGCGAACUGGUUUCCUUGAGUACGCACAAAGUGGGCGGAAUUCGUGGUGUAGCGGUGAAAUGCUUAGAUAUCACGAAGAACUCCGAUUGCGAAGGCAGCUCACUGGAGCGCAACUGACGCUGAAGCUCGAAAGUGCGGGUAUCGAACAGGAUUAGAUACCCUGGUAGUCCGCACGGUAAACGAUGGAUGCCCGCUGUUGGUCUGAACAGGUCAGCGGCCAAGCGAAAGCAUUAAGCAUCCCACCUGGGGAGUA
rnacentral:rRNA from 1 species